rnacentral:lncRNA from 1 species
UCAAUUGCAGAUCAUGGCACUUUCAUCCAACAAUUUUGAGGAGAUAACUUUUAAUUACAAUAAUAAGAACCACAUGGGCAGUUGAUUGAUGCAAACCUGAUGUGUUCUCUUACUUUAUUAAUCUUUUUAAUUAGAGUCAAAAGAAUGUUUUAUCUGUCGGGAAGGAGAUGAGAUGGGCCGUGACGCUCUGCUGCACUUCUGUGACUGCAAAAACUUGAUUGCUCACCAGAAAUGUCUUUUAACUUGGAUACAAAAGGGUCCUCAUUAUGAAGGUACUCCAACAUGCAAAGUAUGUACAGCUGAGUACCAACUUGUGGAAACAUCACCUUGGAGAAAUCUGGUCUUGCGAUGGGACAAGUGGGCCAUCUUCUGCACAGUUGCAGCGCUCAUGAUCAGCAUUCCGUUUCUGGUCUAUCAACUCCUAAUCACUUUUAAGGAUCCUCCUCCUGCUCUUGUUUUCCACAUUGCAGCCAUUACCUUUGGAGUGCUCACAGAAAUACUCCUGACCAAAUGCCUGGUAAACUACUGCAGCCGCAACCUUGAAACAGCCAGGAUGUCUUCAUUUUCCAUCAGAGCGAGAACCGUAUAG